AUUGAACGCUGGCGGCAGGCCUAACACAUGCAAGUCGAACGAGUGGCGGACGGGUGAGUAAUGUCUGGGAAACUGCCUGAUGGAGGGGGAUAACUACUGGAAACGGUAGCUAAUACCGCAUACCAUCGGAUGUGCCCAGAUGGGAUUAGCUAGUAGGUGGGGUAAAGGCUCACCUAGGCGACGAUCCCUAGCUGGUCUGAGAGGAUGACCAGCCAAACUGGAAAUGAGACACGGUCCAGACUCCUACGGGAGGCACCAGUGGGGAAUAUUGCCCAAUGGGCGCAAACCUGAUGCAGCCAUGCCGCGUGGAGGAAGAAGGCCUUCGGGUUGUAAAGGACUUUCAGCGGGUAGGCGUUACCCGCAGAAGAAGCACCGGCUAACGCCGUGCCAGCCGCCGCGGUAAUAC
rnacentral:rRNA from 1 species